GACGAACGCUGGCGGCGUGCUUAACACAUGCAAGUCGAACGGAAAGGCCCUGCUUUUGUGGGGUGCUCGAGUGGCGAACGGGUGAGUAACACGUGAGUAACCUGCCCUUGACUUUGGGAUAACUUCAGGAAACUGGGGCUAAUACCGGAUAGGAGCUCCUGCUGCAUGGUGGGGGUUGGAAAGUUUCGGCGGUUGGGGAUGGACUCGCGGCUUAUCAGCUUGUUGGUGGGGUAGUGGCUUACCAAGGCUUUGACGGGUAGCCGGCCUGAGAGGGUGACCGGCCUCCUGGGGCCUGCGAUACGGCCCAGACUCCUACGGGAGGCAGCAGUGGGGAAUAUUGCACAAUGGGCGGAAGCCUGAUGCAGCAACGCCGCGUGCGGGAUGACGGCCUUCGGGUUGUAAACCGCUUUCGCCUGUGACGAAGCGUGAGUGACGGUAAUGGGUAAAGAAGCACCGGCUAACUACGUG
rnacentral:rRNA from 1 species